GUAGGGUCAGCUCAUGAAUACUGUCAUUUGAGGUUACAUCAAGCUUGUGGUACUCAACUCUUCCGCCAACAUUCAAUGAUCUGCAUGCAGCCUCACCUUGCUCAUCACUGCGUGCUAAUACCACAUGAUAUUGAUCUUGGCUCAAUCUGAAGGAAUGGGUGGUAAAGGCUAUAUCUUAUAGACUCCCAGAAAAUAUUAUGUGAAUUGACAUCCUAAGUCAAGAUACAGUACAUGUCUGGAGAACAAGCAUGUGUAUAAAGUAGCAAAACAACUAGAUGUUAGUUUUAACCAACAAAACUUCUCAACAACAAAACAAUGUAAAAGUUUUUUUUUCACAAAUAAAAGAAACAAAACUCAAA